UACCGCGGUCCGCAGUGGCCCUGAAUUGCUCGGAGAAGAUUUGGUCCUUGAUAAGCAUUGCGAGUCCAUGAGAGCAGCUGCACCGGAGAGGCAGAAACACCACGUGCUGUAUAAUCAUUAUUUUAAUGUCUCUCGCUGCCAUUAAUCACAGUUAGAGAGUAAAACACUGAGAGGGAGAAAAACAAGAAAGACAGAAGGAGAUUCGUCAGAGCUUCAGCGCUCACUGAUUCAGCUCUCCAGAGGUUUUGGUUUUACAGUACCAGACGUUUUCCUUCUGAGAGGGUUUUGAUUACAGUUUGAGCUGCGUGUUCCCGCGGGAAUAUCACUCAGUGACAGAAGCAGAAAAUCCCUCAUUACAACCUGCCAGUUCAGCAGUCAGAUGUUCAGCAUUUAAGGUGGGAUUCAAUCGUUUGAACUGAUUUCAGCAUCAGCUGUCGAGGGAUAAAGCUGCCGUCAAUCUACAGCAGAUGAGAUCUUUGAAGUGACCCAUUUAGGGUCCCUCAUCGACAUUCAGUGCUGGAUUUCAGCAGCUGUUUACCUGAGUAACCGUGAAUCAGCAUCAAACCGUGUAUCAGAAUCUGAGAACAGAAUAAAGUUUCUGUAUGUCGACACAAAGAAAACAGCAGAAAGAACAUGCACGGUAAUGAUGAUUUUCUUUCUUUACCUCCAGGCCGACCGCAGUGGUUGUGUUUUAUUUAUUCAGGUUCUCAGUUAUUUUUUGGUUAUAAUGUUCGUGGCUCGAGUCAUAGCCAGGCAUGAGGGCACCGGGAUGAAUAAAUGAUUCAUGAAUGAAUGUAAACCUAACCAGAGACCUAAGAAGCAAAACCAGAUGGGAGACAAUAACAGAAUAUAUUAUUAAAAUAUCCCCAAACUUAAAAUCUUUACAAAGGCUAAACUCACUAGCAAAUCAAUUUAAAUUCACUUGAAAUGAAAACUAAUACAAAGCCUUCAAAAUAAAGUGGCAUAAAAUUAAAAGAUCUGAUGAGAUCUUGAUUGAGAUUAAACCAGUAAUCCCCUCAGAAGAGAUCUCAACAUUGCAAAGUUCAUAUUUUUUAUGCUUUGAGUUUUUCUAAAUAUGCAGAAGAAAGUUUAGAUUUUUUUUAUGGCUGAAGUCUGGACAAAUCCAUUAAUAUUUCAUACAGUCCUGACACGCAAGGCUUCUUAUGCAAAUGUGUCAAGUGUUUGCACAAUAAAGAUGUAGGCAGCUGAAAUAAGGAAAACAAAACAAUUUUUCAUUCCAGAGUUGAAAGUACAGCAGCACACGCAGCCGUGCGAGGCGCAGGCUUCGGCGCUUUCAAAUGACUUAUUCUGACAACAUCCAAUUACAAAUGAUAGCAGCAUAUACUUCAGAUGAUUUAACCGCUGCAUUUACACCUCAAAGCCCCCCAAAAAAGUUCAGUGGAGAAAAAUCUGCAAAUGAAAAACAAAUAAAAAGAGCCACACUUCCCUCUCGCAGCUGGAGAGCUGCGUUUGUUUUGUCUGAAUAACCCAAUAUUUUACAGAAACUCAUGAGAAUAUAUUCACAUUAAUGCACGGCUGUACUGCGUAUCAGAAAAUGUUGCAUAAUGCUCUUUGAAAUAUGGUAAUUCCCCAUUUACCUGUGAAUUAAAAACACCCUCGUCUGAAGGCUGUGGGAUUUGACCUGUGCAAGACGAGCCACUGAAUUGACCGUCUGUGUUUUAGCAGUCGCCUCUGAUGGCGCUUUUAUCUCGUGGCAAUUAAAGCAUCACCGCUUUUGUUUCUCAAAGACCAUACCGUCUCGUCCAGAGCUUUUCAAUUGUCUGUGACCUCCAGAAUUCAUUGUUUAGUGACCUAUAAUAAUGUUAUAUACUGGCGCAUUCAAAGUUUUCAGCCCUUUGCAAGAAGUAAGAGUGGCCAAACUCACAAAUAGUCUUCAUAAAAGAAGUGCAGUGUUGUUUCAAUUACUUUAACUUUAAUAAACAUUGAUGCUGUUCUUGUUUAUGAUAAAUAAGCUCACCAUCAGCAACAACACGGACAGUUGGCUAUUCGUGCUGAAUCAUCAUAACAACAUUUAACAUUUAAUAAAAAUGUUUUGCACUUCUCCCUUGGUUGGAAAAGCAUCAGCUCCUGUAAAUUUUCAUCGGUAAGUCUCUAACAGGCAAUAUUCAUUGUAAAGCUGCUUUGGAACAGUAUGUCUCUGAAAUGCGCUAUACAAAUAAAACUAAACUGAAUUGUUUUUGUGUCAGUGUAACAGGUGCCAGGAACCCGACGGUCCUGUGAUGGAGGAGAGGAGCAGAACAUAAAGAUGACCAUCACACAGCAGGGCGCUGAAAUGACACUGUUAUCAGCGGGGCUUUUUCACCAAAAUUGGCCACCACCAUCCAACUGGGUCAAAGCACCUCAGCGAAGGCUCACACCAAUUAUUUCUUAGAGGCGAGAGAACCCGUGAGAGCGAUGUGAAAUCUUAUGGUAAAUGAGUGCAUCUCUCGGUUCAUAAGC